UACAGAGGGUGCGAGCGUUGUCCGGAAUCACUGGGCGUAAAGGGCGCGUAGGUGGCGGGAUAAGCGUGUGGUGAAAGCCCGGGGCUCAACCCCGUGUCUGCCAUGCGGACUGUCUUGCUCGAGCGUAGUAGAGGCAGGUGGAAUUCCGGGUGUAGCGGUGGAAUGCGUAGAGAUCCGGAAGAACACCGGUGGCGAAGGCGGCCUGCUGGGCUACUGCUGACACUGAGGCGCGACAGCGUGGGGAGCAAACAGG
rnacentral:rRNA from 2 species